rnacentral:rRNA from 1 species
GACGAACGCUGGCGGCGUGCUUAACACAUGCAAGUCGAACGGAAAGGCCCUGCUUUUGUGGGGUGCUCGAGUGGCGAACGGGUGAGUAACACGUGAGUAACCUGCCCUUGAUUUUGGGAUAACUUCAGGAAACUGGGGCUAAUACCGGAUAGGAGCUCCUGCUGCAUGGUGGGGGUUGGAAAGUUUCGGCGGUUGGGGAUGGACUCGCGGCUUAUCAGCUUGUUGGUGGGGUAGUGGCUUACCAAGGCUUUGACGGGUAGUCGGCCUGAGAGGGUGACCGGGCACAUUGGGACUGAGAUACGGCCCAGACUCCUACGGGGGGCAGCAGUGGGGAGUAUUGCACAAUGGGCGGAAGCCUGAUGCAGCGACGCCGCGUGCGGGAUGACGGCCUUCGGGUUGUGAACCGCUUUCGCCUGUGACGAAGCGUGAGUGACGGUAAUGGGUGAAGAAGCACCGGCUAACUACGUG